rnacentral:lncRNA from 10 species
CCACCAUGCCUGAGUCACCAUGCCUGGCCCAGCAUCUGAUAUUUCUAAACGACACAUGACAAUGACCAGUUUCUCCCAGUUUUCUGAAUGUUGCAUGUUCAUAAUAUCCUGGAUUGUAUCAGUUUAGUGCCAAAAAAUGGUUUCAAAAUUAUAAUCCAGUUCCUUGCAGACAAAAAGGAUUCUGGAAUAAAACAAAUCAGAGCUGCUUCCACAAACCCCAAUGAGGUUCCUGACUCUGGGCAGGCAGGAGUGGCCUUUGCUCCCCAGAAAAGGAACUAAAGAGAGUCGUGGAGGACUUGGAGCUCUUGCAGCCUCUGAGACUCUCAGGCCUCCCCUGGGGGGAAAACAUGUCCAGAACCUGAAAAAGACAAAUGAAAAUCCACUCACACUGACCGGCUGCUGCCCCUCACCCCACAGCCUGGGAGCUUCUCAGACGGCUGCCUUUCUGCCCAUAGCGACUGGUUCAGGGCUGGGCUGCUGACAGAAGCUGGGUCAGGUAGAGCAAAGAUUCUCCCCAAGACUGUUUAUUGAUACAUAAUAGAUGUACAUAUUCGGGGUGCAGGCAUAUAAUGUGUAGUGAUCAAAUCAAGAUCACUUGUGACGCUUGUGAUACCUGCCACCCCAAAUCAAGACACUUGUGAUACCUGCCACCCCAAAUAUUUACCUUUCCUUUAUGCGGGGAACAUUCACAUUCUUCUCUUCUAGCCCUUUCGAAAUCUACAAGGACAGUGAACAGGCGUCAUGGAGGGAAUGCUGGAGUCUGUUACCCACGUAGCUGUUAUGCCAGAGGAAUGGGGUCCACAGUGGUCAGUGUGAGGCUCAGCCAGUGUGAGUGGAGGAAGCAAAGUUUGCACAGAGAAAGACGCAAGAGCACCAUGCUGAGCUCCCGCUCCCUAUUCCAGCCUCACAGAGACCCAGUCACACCUUGCUCUCCCCGCUUCAUGUGGACUUCCCUGACCUACACCAGUGUGAGCUGCAUUUCUGCCACUUCAAGCUGAAGCUGAGCCCUGACUGACACAGUUUUCUUAUUUCUCCGGGAGCAGCACCACUCCUGAUGGUCCCCUCCAAAGCCCCAGGAAACUCUUGUUAGCAAUCUUAGAUUAAAUUCAGUGAGUUUCUGGAUCACGACAGGAAGCUGUGUCCAGCACGAAGGUGUCCUGUGAACAGGCUCAAUCACAAGCUCUGCAGAGACGGGAAGUGACAGAGGCCCCAGAAAGCCAGUUCCCGACAACGCCAAUACUGCACGUUUAUCAGCUGCGGCAAGAGCCGGCCGGAGGCGGUGGCAGCACCUCAAUGCCCUUGCCUCGUCUUCAAGAUUCUUCUGUUUGAUGUUGCGUCCUCACUGUUCCUCUGCUGAGGAGCUGUAGUGUGGCUCACAACUACGCGAUGACUCUCCAGAUUCAAAGACCACAUCUCACCCUCUCUAAAGCCCCAGGGGCCCAGCGCAGUGCCGAGUGCAGAAGGAUUGAUGAGCAUUUGCUGAGCCGGGUGAUGAUCCCACGGGCGUUGUUUCCUCUGCCCUCAGUCUCCAGCCUGCAGACGCCUGAAUGGAUUCUGGAGAGGUGUGCGUUGGACUCUGAAGGUCCUCUGAGCCCAUCCAGGAUAAAGAUGCUCUCUCCCAGGCGUCUGCUCAGCCGCCGGCUAUCGGCAGGACAUUGCGCACCAGGUAUCUUCAAGCUGCUUCUGGCUGGAUUUAGGGCAUGAUGGAAACAUCAAAACAACUGUAGUUCUGCCACGGGGUCCCACAUCUGCUUAUCCUGGGACAGCCACGCAGUCCCCACCCAGGAAGCGGCAGCAGGUUUCAGCACCCUGGAGAGGGCCAGGCCCCUGUGGCUGGUCAAGCUCCUCAGUGUUAAGGGAGCAGCUCAGGAAGGCCCCGCCCAUGACGAUGAGGGGACCAGGAAUGAAGUCAGCAGGUGAGCGGGAGGAACUUGACUCAGAGCAGUGGGAGGGCAGGAAGCGUGCUGGGGAGGAGCCCUUGAGGGGCCACCACCUGGGGAAGCGCCUGCUGUCCCAGGGACAAGGGAAGUCUCCUCCUUUAUUCCCCAGAAGGACAGCGUGGCUGCGGUCAAAUCCAUCCACGGGGCAGAUUUUCCCCACGGCCCUGUCCCCUGACCCUAGUGGCCCUCCCACAGACAUGCCCUGCAGGGCCCAGGACACUGGCCCUCGAUGGGCCCUGAGCCAGUGCCACCUGUGUGUGCACUGAUGAAGGUCAGGCACUUUAUUGGAGGAAGGAGGAGCAGAAAGAGGAGAAGGAAACGUUAACUCCUAAAUCACAAGGCAGAAAGGAUUCCUGAAACAAAUCAACCAAAUCUGCCUCCUAGGUGGUUCCAGACCUGCCUCCCCUCCCCUCCCCGUUUCUUAGGGCGCGGCAGUAACGUUAACCCGGCUCCACUGCACAUCCUCCUGACCCUGGCCCUGCACCCUUGGCCCCUGCACAUCUCAUGGCUGACACCUCUGUACGGGCUCUCAUUUCACGUUUCACCUUCAAAUUGUGCUCUGUGAACACGUGUAUGCAUGCACAUUUAUUGAUCUAUUUGUUUACGUUUGUUUGAUGAUCCAGUUGCAGUCUCUUUUCAUUAGAAAGCUAG